GGGGUUGUGGCUCAGAGGCAGAGUGCUCACCUAUCAUGUGUGAGUCACUGGGUUCGAUCCUCAGCACCACCU
rfam:Ictidomys tridecemlineatus contig062718, whole genome shotgun sequence.